AGAUACAAAGACUUAUUGGAGAAUAAAACCCCAAGGUGGCUAUCACCAAUGGAGGCAAAGGCCCUAAAAAAGUCCAAUAUGGAGGCCAAAUGGCCAAAAUAUUGGGAGAUCUUGGAACAAGAAGGAGACAAAUUUAAACUGCAGAGUUUUGAAAAAUUAAAAGAUAGAGUGCGAGACUGGUUGCAUUAUUACCAAAUAAGAGAGGUCUAUAAUUUGGAUAGAAAAAUUGGCUUCCAGGUGGAAAAAUCAAAGUUGGAAACAGAACUGCUAGAUUCCAAAACUAAAACACUUUCAAGAAUGUAUAACUUGCUGCUAAAAUGGAAUACUCAGGAUGAAACGGUAAAAUCUGCUAUGAUUAAAUGGGCACAGGAUAUUGGACAUAAUAUUAUGUUUGCUGACUGGGAACGGUUAUGGACCACAGGUAUGAAGUUUACAGCAUGUAAUGCUUUAAAAGAGAAUAUUAUGAAAAUGGUGUACAGGUGGUACAUGACUCCAGUCAAGCUUGCAAAAAUCUACCAUUUGCCCGAUAAUAAAUGUUGGAAAUGUAAGGAAAUUGAAGGUACAUUCUUUCACAUUUGGUGGACGUGCCCAAAGAUUAAGGCCUUCUGGGAAAGGAUAUAUAAUGAGUUAAAAAAGGUAUUUAAGUAUACCUUUCUAAAGAAACCAGAGGCCUUUCUCUUGGGCAUUGUUGGCCAAUUGGUGCUAAAGAAAGACAGAACUUUCUUUAUGUAUGCAACAGCAGCAGCAAGAAUACUCAUCGCAAAGUAUUGGAAGACACAAGAUUUACCCACUCUGGAAGAAUGGCAGAUGAAGGUAAUCGAAUAUAUGGAAUUGGCGGAGAUGACUGGCAGAAUCCGUGACCAGGGAGAAGAGUCGGUGGAAGAAGAUUGGAAGAAAUUUAAAGACUAUCUACAGAAAUACUAUAAAAUUAAUGAAUGUUAAAUUGAAGUCUGAUUGAAAAUAACUGGUAUUGGCAAAAGCUUUGUGAUUAAGAGUAUGGAAUAUUUGAUGGAUAAGGUUGUAAAAAUAUUUAUAUAUAAAUAGAUUAAGUUUUUUGAGUUAAGAUAAUGAAAGGAGGGUAAGGAUUUGCUGAAAGGAGUUUUUAAAUGGAAGUGCAAGCGGGGAGAUGCGGGGAAGUCAAAGAACUAGGUAAAGAUAAGAAGGAUAAAUGAAAGUAUAAAUAUUUUUUAAAUUUUUCUGUUUCUUUUUCUUUGUUUUCCUUUUUUUCUUUUCUUGUUAUGGAUAUUGUCAUUUCUGUUUGUUUUUUGUCAUGGUUAUUGUUGUUUUUUUUGUUUGUUGAAUUUUUGUCAUUCUGUAUUUUUUGGAAUUUUUUCUUGUAAAACCAAUAAAUAUCUUAU